GGACCUGACUGCUAUCGGAUUGAUACUAAGCCAUGCGAGUCAUCGUAGCAAUACAAGGCAUACGGCUCAGUAACGCGUAGUCAACCUAACCUAUGGACGGGAAUAACCUCGGGAAACUGAGAAUAAUGCCCGAUAGAACAUUAUGCCUGGAAUGGUUUAUGUUCCAAAUGAUUUAUCGCCGUAGGAUGGGACUGCGGCCUAUCAGUUUGUUGGUGAGGUAAUGGCCCACUAAGACUAUUACAGGUACGGGCUCUGAGAGGAGUAGCCCGGAGAUGGGUACUGAGACACGGACCCGGGCCCUAUGGGGCGCAGCAGGCGAGAAAACUUUGCAAUGUGCGAAAGCACGACAAGGUUAAUCCGAGUGGUUUCUGCUAAAGAAACCUUUUGUCAGUCCUAGAAACACUGAUGAAUAAGGGGUGGGCAAGUUCUGGUGU
rnacentral:rRNA from 1 species